rnacentral:rRNA from 1 species
CGGGUGAGUAACACGUGAGUGACCUGCCUUUUAGACUGGAACAACUUACCGAAAGGUGAGCUAAUGCCGGAUGAGUUAUAUAAGUGCAUGUUUAUAUAGGAAAAGUUGGGGAGCCUGACGCUGAAAGAUGGACUCGCGUCCCAUUAGCUAGUUGGUAGGGUAAUGGCCUACCAAGGCGACGAUGGGUAGCCGGCCUGAGAGGGUGGCCGGCCACACUGGGACUGAGACACGGCCCAGACUCCUACGGGAGGCAGCAG